CAGAAGGAGUUGCUUUGUGCUGGAGCUUUUGGAAUGGUUAUGCAGCACAUCUCCACCGAGGCCUGCCAGAUUUUCCUGAGGGUGGGAGAUCCGCAGUCUAUUCACCUGUUUCUCACACGGAUGUCAUUUCAUACCCUUCAUCAUCUCCCCUGCCCGGUUCUGUUUUCUUCCCAGUUUUACAACAGCCUUUCUGAGAUGGGGAGAUCAGGAUUGCAGAGAACAUUCAAGAAGUGAAUACGCUGUGGGUUUACACAGCAGCACAGGGCAGUUUUCCAAGGAGAAAAGCAUCUCUGUGUGACCAGCCCUUUUUUUUGUUGUUGUUGUUAUAACCCAGGAAGGCAGAAGCUUUCCCCACUGCUUCUGGGCCCAAACAUCACCCCAAAGGGACAGCCAAGAGUGGAGAAUUAUUUUCAUCAGCAGGUAGAAAGGCUCCUUGAUAACUUCAGUGUGAGAUAUUGUAGACUUCCCUGUGUCUGUACUCUUCCCUGAGCUUAGAGCAAAGGACUGAGCUGAUGGGGACAGCGUUUAUGAGCUGCUUCCAUGGCAGCAGAUGCCAAGCAUGGGCUCCAGCAGCAGCUGGGGCUGAGGAAGUGAUUCUCUGGCUGCAGGAGGGAAAGGCAGUUCUGCAGGCUGCCUGUAGGGCAGCCCUGUGCUCUGCUGCAAGACAUGCUCUGCUAUCCCCCACUGCAGACUCUGGUUGAGGUUUGCUGCUUGUUCCAAUUUGUUAGCUCCUCUGAAGAGAGACCAGGAGCUGGCAGAAGCCACAGAUGCUUUCCUGCAGGAGAAAGAACCAUCUUUCUGGUCGAGAUUCACUGAACAACCAGGGGGAGGCUGGAACAGAGACCUCCAGAGGACCCAUCCAACCCACAGCAGUCAGUAAGUCUAUGGCCAGGACGUGAGGAACUCCCUCACAGCUGCUCCCAGCACUGCUGGCUGGCAGUGACCAUUCUCUGUGAGCACACAGAGCAGGGAUUGAGUCUAUGCCUGUGAUGCUGGGCCAGGUAAACCCACAGCAUCCUCAGCAAUGACGUCUAUUUGAUGCUAUGCUGUUGCCUGUGGGAAAACAAGUUUGCCUUGUUUAACAUUUAGUAACUCCUUUACAUGGGGCUGCCUCAUCCCUCUGAGAUACAGCUGCAGCUAUUUUGUGAUAUUGCUGUACUUUUUAAGGACACCUCUGCUACUCUCACCUUGUGAAUUAGGAGCAGAUGAGGGUAGUUACACUCUAGCUACUCGUUCCCUAUGGAGCACAGAAUACUGUAUGACACCUUCUGGUGGAGAGGAACAGUUCAGCAUUUUUCCUGUUGGAGGAACAGAGAUGCACACUGAUGUUUCUUGGGGCACUUCUAAGUUUCUCAGCUCUCAUUUGACUGUAUUGCAUUACCUCUGCCCUGCAUUCCCAGCUGUUAUUCUCCCUUACUGAUAACACUAUUUUCAGAUUGGGGCAAUAGUAGCAUGCUGCAUCUUUCUGAUUAUCUUUCUAAAACGUUGCCCUUGCUCUUGUUCAGAAGGCUUGAAUACAAAUUCAUUGCUUUGCCAGUUAGGAUUAAGAAGGGACAAUUCUCUUGCCUCUUUCACUAUGCAACAUGAUGGCUCUCUGCAUAUCAUGGAGUACUCUGGUUAGAUAAAUUGGAAAACAAAAUCAUUUAGUAUAGAUACUCUUAUCACUUCAUCCACAUUCCAAUUAAAAGGCUAAAAUAAAGAAGCAUCUGAAUUGCUAAUAAGCAU
rnacentral:lncRNA from 7 species